UUGAAUUAUACGCAAAGUAAUCUCUACCGAGUCAAAGCAAAGAAAAGUCAGAUCUGUCUGUUCGUCGAAAAUUUGUAUUCUGGGAUAAGCUCCAGGCUCUUGCCUCUUGCCUCUCAACUUCCUUCCUGCUUUCAGCCUCCAGUGAAUGGGAUUGUAAAUUGUAAGGCUAAAAAACUCUAUAAUUAUAUCAAAUAAAAAAUUAUUUCUAUGAAAUUUGAAUAACAUUUUUGGAAGAAGAUAGGGCAUGAAGUAUUUCCUAACAGCCUUACAUUUGUCUCACUAUGAAAGAUCUGAAUUUCUAAAUCUAGAGCCAAAAAAAGUGUAACAUAGAAAAAGUAUGAGAUUGUUCAAGAAUGGAUUUCAGCAACCGCCUCGAUCGCCACCUCUGCCUCAGCAAAUCCUCUAUCGCCCCACUGGCCUUGUGCCUAAAUGUAACCAAAUAAUUAUCCAAUAUGGUUGGGAAAUAGGCCUUGCAGUUCUCUACGGAACCUUCUUAGAAGUUAUAAUCUAGUACUUGGAACAUACAUUUCAAUGGAGCAAAGCUAUUUUGUCUGCAAUUCAAUUUUAGAGUCUUAUAAAUGCUUUUUCUCCAUCUUUCUUGUGAGAACAAUUAGGGAAUUGGUGAACUUGAACAAUCCGAUGAGUUAUCUCUUGCAACUCGAUCAAUCUAUGAUAAAACUCACUAUAAGCUUAAGAAAAGGUUGUGGUUUGAUUUUAAGGUCUCGCUCUAAUACACAUGAGAAAUUGUUUCUAUUAGCCAAUUAUUGUUAGGUAUAAUAAUAUCACCAUCUCCACCCCUUUUGUAAGGACAGUUUUGAUUCAACUUCAUCUGUUUUCAUCUGUUCACCUCUUAAACCCCCACGACACAUGGAGGCAUGAUUAAUUGAGUAUAAGGUGAAACCCAAAGUUCGAUACCAUUGGAUUAUAAGAGCAGGACAAACCCAAAAUGAUCCCUUCAGCUGCCUAAUUUCUUCAACUUAAAAAUACACAAAUUUUCAGCUGAUGAUAUAGACUGAGGUCCUCCAUGAUUGGAGAUUAGUUGAAGAAAGUCACCUUCUUUGUUAUUUUUCUCUCUUUUUGUCGAUGAAAACUCUAAUGAAGUACUAGUUAUAAUAUUCAGCCUAAUUACUUUAUCAAUGUCACUGAGAAUGAUGGCGAAAGCUUCUUAUGAGCAACGGAUGGACUCCCAUUGACAUAUAAUUGAUUGAUGUUGAAGACCAUGGAUGUCUGCAGGAGAUUGGUUGAUGGAAGCAGAGACUAUCAUUCUGUAUAGAAAACCUAAAACCACAGUUACACCAUCUUAGUCUUCUUCCAAUAUCCACAGUGUAAAGCAUGUAAGUAGAGACUACCAAUUAAUUGUCCACUUUCAAAAUUACAAAGAUAAGAAAAUUCAGUUGAAGCCUUGAAGGAAUGAUUUAAGUUUUGACUACAUUGGAUCCAAUUUCACGCUAGUGUGAGUCAAGCUUUAUUAGAACCUUGUUGGGAGAUGGACGCCAUACAUUUUUGUAAGCAAGCUUGACUCCUGAGCCAAAUCGAUUGUAAUGGGUCAAAAAGGAAAUGGAAACUAAAGAGGAAAACUUACCAAAUUCCUUCCAUGAAUCACUUUAACUUUCGUAUGAACCCAUGAAUAUAAUCAUUAUUCAAAUUCUACUAAAUUAUUUUUUUUUCAUUUUAGAAUGAUUACUUUUUUUUUAUUGUUAUAAUUGAAAAUUUUCCCUUCACCAAUAUACAGAGUAAUAUCAAAAUAAACUUUGAGAAGAUUGAAACACCCUUACUAUGGAUUGAAUACUCCAACAUAGUUGUCUGCACAACUUAAAACUUAUUCACUUGACAUCAUCAACAUGCUGAAAUCAAUAUGAUCACUUCAACUCUCAGAUCCGCCACCAUCACUCCUGUCCAGAGCAACCAUGUGCUGCCAUCUGUUUACCAUAGCUCUUUUAGUGACUCUGCAUGGCGGUUUAUAUCUUUCCUGUUGCCUGUGGCCAAGCUUGCAAAGACAUAUCACGAUUAGAAUGGCUGCAAACCCGGAUGCGCAUGCUAUGAGCCGACAGCACGCCCUUCCAUUUUCCGGGUAGAAACUGACCAUGAGAUGCAAAGUUUGAACCUUCCAUAUAUUAUAUAAAUAUAGUGGCAAGUCUUUGAGCUAUGGAGGAUGUUAUGCAGAAACUUUGCGGUUCAGAAGUUGACUUUGGUUUAUGGGGUUUCCUACACUCUUACAAGGAUGCCGCAGUUGACCUGUGGAACUUGAAUGCUACCUCCCCAGACAAGCAUUGAAAAGAGCAUUUGUUUUCUAUUUAAUGUAUACUGGAAGUUGAAAUAGAUUCUUCAAUCUGUUGCUUUUUUUUAACACAUCUGUCCAGAGUCCUUGCUUAAAUUUCGGCCUCAAAGCAUCACGACAGAGAAUUAAGCACCCAACACAUUUUCCAAUUUGUUUCUUGGAGGUGAAAAAAACAAAAUAAAGUGUUGUACUGAAUAAGUCAGGACUGCAGACUGAUCUGGGAGUGGGGCAAUUAGUCAUUGCCAAGUAACAUCACAUAGUGGCAAAAUUAAUGAAAAAAUGGUGAUCAUGAUGGAUGUUGGGAAAUUAGAGAGAGAAACAACAGAUUAAUGAAAGAAUAUAUGUGAUUUGAUUGCUCUAUCCACUAAUUUGAUAGAAUCGACAUAGAGAAAUCUAUAUGAGUGGCAUCUAAAACUCUUCAUGUACAUCAAACAUCCUUACACACUCCAAUCAAAUAGAAAAAUUGGAAAGAAAAUGUGUAGGUUUGAAAGGAAAGGAAAUGAAAUGAAAUCUAAACAAGGUAGAGAGUAGAGUGAUUAAACACCAGCAUAGCCAUCACAAGUGCAGUUGGCAUCGCUGCCGCUUAAGUCGCCAUGUUGGGGAGGUUUAGUGCUGAUGCAACAACACACGAGGCCUAUCAACAGCAUGAAGCCCGAAGCUGAGGCCAAGGCCUGCGCCCAUUUCAGGUAAUGCUCCAUCUUCUUCCUUUUUCCUCAAUUCUUCUCCCAUCAUGUCAACAAGCUAUCAACAAGUUUAUUCUUGCUCAUCACACGGCUUACAGAGUAUUCAUCAAUGGUGCCAGCUCUUUAAUUAGUGAAAGAAUAAUGGUAUCAGGUGGUGAGAGAAGGAAGAAGAGAGACGUGGGAGAGAAGUAGUGGAGCACAUGGCUGAGCUUGAAAGAGGCCAAAAUAACAUGGGGCGCCUGUGAACCUAACGGCUAACAGUCGCAUCAAGUCUCCUUCCACAAAAACUACAUGUCAAUUGUUGAUAUGAGUUUUUGUUUCGGUUAACUACUUGGGAACAUCAUUCAAAGGAUGAGAUUGGAAUGUUCACUCUUUGCAGUCUCUCCCGCACUUUAGGCACUAGUGGCAGUUGUGAUAUCUAAUCAGAGGCCUUACAAUCUAAGCUUUAAUAAUGAAGGUAACACCCAAAUGCCUCUGAUAUUUUUUCCAAAUAUAUUCAAUGGUAUGUAAUACUAUGUGUUCUAUAUAUCAUUAAUGGUUACAAAGUUAUCUGUAAAGUAAUAUAAAAAAAAGUUCAAAAAAUAGAAUAUUACUAAAACCUAAAAGACUCUGCCGACAAAACUCCAGAUUUAAUGAGUUACAACUCAUGUACUACGUACAUGAGUAAAAAAGAUAAUAAUGUUUGAAUAUUUAAUACAGAUAUGUAGCGCCUUCUGCUUUUGAGGGAGAGAGCCCGCCUAUACCAUUGUGAUUGGUUCAAUCUUCAAUCUUCCCAAGCUGAAGGGUUAAGGGUGAGGGCACCUUUGAGAAUCCAAAGUUGCAAAAGCAAUUGUUACAGGGCUGAGAGAGUGGUGGUCCUGGAUCAAAAUAUUUAAAGAUGUUUCCAGUCAUAUCUUUGGGCUGGCAUUGAAAGUGCUUUAGUGUAUCAUUAAUAUAACUUAAAUGUUAGUGGCAUCAGAUCAUUGCCAGCGCACACGAAUGUGCACCAUCAUGGUAAUUGGUAAGUGCCGCUCACUUGGCCCUCAGGGAAGCCAUUUACGCGGAUCGGCUCAUCCAGGUGACUGUACUGCUCUCAUUGCAUUCAAGGCCAGGUUCUGCACUAUGAAGUAUGAACUAGUGUAAGCCUUGAUUUUGAAAAGCUACAACUGGCAACUCACUCACCAAAAAUUUUAGGUAAUCGCUACAAGCGCGUGGCCUCCUAUGGCCUGGAGCCUAUGAUGAUUUGGAAAGACCGAAGGAGAAGUGUUGUUUCGUGAAUGAAUGAAGAGAAACGUAAUGAAGAAAAAGGAGAAAGCAAAAGAAAAGCUUUAUGCGUGCCUCCACAUUACAAAAUAUUCGAGUCAGAAAACCCACUGGAACAUCGUUGCUUUUGUCCUAAACAAAAGGCCCGAAAGUAACCCCGAUUCAACUUUUUCUUAAAUAUUCGGAUGCCCCAUUCACAUUUGAAAAUGCGUGUUUACCAGUGUUGAUAAGUGGCUUACAUAGCACGUUGGUAGCUACCAUGAAUUUUUCAUCUCCGGCUUAAAAUCCAUUUCUUCUACCCCGUGCCUGCUAUUAUUAAUAAUUUAAACCUUUGAUUUAUUCAUUUUCCGCAACUCCCUUGCACGGCAAAUAAGAAAUCUACCCAAGCAAGAGAAGCCUAGGGAAUCAAUUGUUUCCUAUCGGGUAGGUUCUAUUUUUGUUCGCCUUUUUCUUCCCUAACUCCAUGGCUCCAGCCCCCAAUGUUUAAACGUACCCCUUUUUCAACAUCAGCACAUCACCAAAGGCAUAGAAUCUUCAUCUCUUCCUAUGUACCGAAUUUCACCAAUCUCAUGCUCGUGCUUGUACCAGGUCGCACGAUAGUCAGCAUCCAUUAUAGAACCUUUAAUUCAUUUUGGAGCCUGUUCGAUCUCCACAAAGACGCAAGACAUUCACUUCAGGAAAUACUCACCUCCAAUGAACCGGCACAACCAGC
rnacentral:lncRNA from 1 species